rnacentral:ncRNA from 1 species
UUCUGAAUAUCUUCAUAUACCGAACCGUGUGCAUAAGGCUCCUGACAGGGCUUCACGGACUGACGUGUGACGGAACGCCACUGAUAUGUCUGAUAGGACAUUGAGGUAACAGAGCGUCUUAAAAGAGGGCAACUGAUUUUAAGGGAGUACGUAAGACACUUGGUACAACUUCAGGGCGUCAGGUGGGAUAGAAGGAUGAGGGAAAAGGCAGGGUGUUAGGGACUGUUCCUGUAUAAUAGACGACCACGGUGUGGGAAUAACCCGUGAAUAUCAUAAGGCUUUGCGGGCUUAUGGGGAUAGCGGGAAAUAUGCAGGUGGGAAAUGUGCGGCUGAGACGGGGGAAACUUCGGGUAUAAAGUCUGACACCUGUACACUGGCACAAGUCCGUACAAAUUUCUUAUUAUAAGUCGAAUAAUAAUAAAUCUGAAUGUCGUGCUGGUGUUGGGGGUACAAAAUAAUCCCCUGUGUACAAGGUUGCGAUGAGAACCGUAAUUCGUAGGGAAGUAUUGGAGUCGCUAUCCAAUGCUCAGACCCUGCGAUACAGUGGCUGAAGAUUCCUGUUUCCUUUGAAGAUACGCUGAAUAAAAGGCGUGGUAUGUGGGGAUGUUCAG